GGUCUGCUGGUAUGGAUGCUGAUAGCAGGGACGGAGUACUUCCGUGUGUCUGCCUUUGGGUGGGUCAUGUUUGUGGCCAUCUUGUACUGGGUUCUGACGGUCAUCUUCCUCAUCAUCUACCUGACCAUGGCUUACAACAGGAUCCCUCAGGUCCCCUGGACAACUGUGGGUCUGUUCUUCAACAGUAGUGCUACAGUGAUGUAUGUGGUGUUCUACAGGGUCUGUUCUUCAACAGUAGUGCUACAGUGAUGUAUGUGGUGUUCUACAGGGUCUGUUCUUCAACAGUAGUGCUACAGUGAUGUAUGUGGUGUUCUACAGGGUCUGUUCUUCAACAGUAGUGCUACAGUGAUGUAUGUGGUGUUCUACAGGGUCUGUUCUUCAACAGUAGUGCUACAGUGAUGUAUGUGGUGUUCUACAGGGUCUGUUCUUCAACAGUAGUGCUACAGUGAUGUAUGUGGUGUUCUACAGGGUCUGUUCUUCAACAGUAGUGCUACAGUGAUGUA